rnacentral:rRNA from 1 species
GAAGGGGCUAGCGUUGCUCGGAAUGACUGGGCGUAAAGGGCGCGUAGGCGGAUGGUACAGUCAGAUGUGAAAAUCCCGGGCUCAACCUGGGGGCUGCAUUUGAUACGUGCUGUCUUGAGUUCGGAAGAGGGUCGUGGAAUUCCCAGUGUAGAGGUGAAAUUCGUAGAUAUUGGGAAGAACACCGGUGGCGAAGGCGGCGACCUGGUCCGAUACUGACGCUGAGGCGCGAAAGCGUGGGGAGCAAACAGGAUUAGAUACCCUGGUAGUCCACGCCGUAAACGAUGUGUGCUGGAUGUUGGGUGACCUAGUCACUCAGUGUCGUAGCUAACGCGAUAAGCACACCGCCUGGGGAGUACGGCCGCAAGGUUGAAACUCAAA